GUCAGUGUGACGUAGUGGUUUGAGUAUUGUACUGUAACUCUGGAGACCAGGGUUCGAUUGCCUGUUCAGCCA